rnacentral:lncRNA from 12 species
AUGAAAAUUCUGCAAUUCGUAAGACAGCACAUGCCAGGUUCAGACGUGGAACUCCGUGCCCGGCGUAACCUCCAGCAAUUCAGACGCCUCCAUACAGUGGAGCCAGAGGCUGGGGCUUCAGCCCAAGGAAAACACCCUAAAGCAGCUCAGGAGCGCGUCCCAGCUCUGACCGUGGGGACUGCUGCCCCGUCGGGGCCUGCGGGGAUCCAGGCCGUCCUGGCUGCUGGAGCUGAGGGCUCGGCCCGCGCUGAAGCGCCCGCUGGGGAGGUGAAGCCCCUGCAGAUAGUGGUCACUGCUCUAGUUCACUGCUCCGCCCUGGAGGAGCCCCCUGCACCUGCGGCCACCCCAGAGGAGGAGCAGGCCCCGGCACCUGCAAUCGGGGUCCCCAGAGUGCCAGAGCCGCCACCUGCAUCUGGAACAACUGGCUUCGACCCCUGAGCUCGCCCCAGCUCCCAACGCAGGGCUCGUGGUGGCUGCAGCCCAACGGAGGCUUGCCCUCCCCUGGCAUUUCACUGUUUCUAUAUUUUCCAUUUUUCUUUAACCUUGAACCUGUAUAAUGGCUUAUGAGUUUUAUUGUAAUAAAGGAUAAGUUAACUUCACAC